rnacentral:rRNA from 1 species
UGGCGGCUGCUUACCUGCAGUCGACGGCAGCACGGGGGUAACCCUGGUGGCGAGUGGCGAACGGGUGAGUAAUACAUCGGAACGUGCCCUGUAGUGGGGGAUAACUAGUCGAAAGAUUAGCUAAUACCGCAUACGACCUGAGGGUGAAAGCGGGGGACCGCAAGGCCUCGCGCUACAGGAGCGGCCGAUGUCUGAUUAGCUAGUUGGUGGGGUAAAAGCCUACCAAGGCGACGAUCAGUAGCUGGUCUGAGAGGACGAUCAGCCACACUGGGACUGAGACACGGCCCAGACUCCUACGGGAGGCAGCAGUGGGGAAUUUUGGACAAUGGGGGCAACCCUGAUCCAGCAAUGCCGCGUGUGUGAAGAAGGCCUUCGGGUUGUAAAGCACUUUUGUCCGGAAAGAAAUGGCUCUGGUUAAUACCUGGGGUCGAUGACGGUACCGGAAGAAUAAGCACCGGCUAACUACGUGCCAGCAGCCGCGGUAAUACGUAGGGUGCGAGCGUUAAUCGGAAUUACUGGGCGUAAAGCGUGCGCAGGCGGUUUUGUAAGACAGGCGUGAAAUCCCCGAGCUCAACUUGGGAAUGGCGCUUGUGACUGCAAGGCUAGAGUAUGUCAGAGGGGGGUAGAAUUCCACGUGUAGCAGUGAAAUGCGUAGAGAUGUGGAGGAAUACCGAUGGCGAAGGCAGCCCCCUGGGACGUCACUGACGCUCAUGCACGAAAGCGUGGGGAGCAAACAGGAUUAGAUACCCUGGUAGUCCACGCCCUAAACGAUGUCAACUAGUUGUUGGGGAUUCAUUUCUUCAGUAACGUAGCUAACGCGUGAAGUUGACCGCCUGGGGAGUACGGUCGCAAGAUUAAAACUCAAAGGAAUUGACGGGGACCCGCACAAGCGGUGGAUGAUGUGGAUUAAUUCGAUGCAACGCGAAAAACCUUACCUACCCUUGACAUGCCACUAACGAAGCAGAGAUGCAUUAGGUGCCCGAAAGGGAAAGUGGAACCAGGUGCUGCAUGGCUG